GGUAAACACUUACUUGAAAACUCAUUUAUCAGAUUCCAUUGUAGAAGACACAAUUUUUUCUAAAGAAUUCGAGUUCGAAAACAAGCUCAAAUUCAGCAGUCAAUAUGAUAUAAUAUGUACAAAAUUCGGUGCGAAAAACAUUGUAUUAGACUCUUCCCACUGAAGAAGAAAAAGGUAAUAACAUAGCUACUAAUCUAAACCUGUGGAAAUAUACCCAAAUAGCUAGUAAAUGAAUAGUCAAAACUAUUUUAUUUAUUAUCCCUUCUUCAGGUUUUACAAAUACAAGUUGAGAAUGUAUAUUUGAGACACAGAAAGAGAGGCUAAUUACUAUUUUACACCACUAAACAUUGUAUCUGAAACUUAAAAUAGACUAAUGUAGACAAGACUUUCCAAGGACACUUCUAACAACUGAGUAUACAACAAAACACAUUUUGUGUACAUAUUUACAACGUAAUAUUAACAAAAGGGAAGAGAGAGAGGCUAAGUACUUCUGAAAUAUUUGUGAAAGGUUUCUUCCUCUGCACAAUAUCUAUGAAUGACUUUGUAGACCUCAAUUAAAAGUNUAGAAGUGUAUUCCCCAUCCAAAUCACACCUA
rnacentral:lncRNA from 1 species